rnacentral:rRNA from 1 species
UACGUAGGGUGCAAGCGUUGUCCGGAAUUAUUGGGCGUAAAGCGCUCGUAGGCGGUUCGUCGCGUCGGCUGUGAAAACCCGGAGCUCAACUCCGGGCCUGCAGUCGAUACGGGCGGACUUGAGGGCUGCAGGGGAGACUGGAAUUCCUGGUGUAGCGGUGAAAUGCGCAGAUAUCAGGAGGAACACCGGUGGCGAAAGCGGCGCACUGGACCGCAACUGACGCUGAGGCGCGAAAGCUAGGGGAGCAAACAGG